rnacentral:rRNA from 1 species
AGUGAACGCUGACGGCGUGCUUAACACAUGCAAGUCGAACGAGAACGGAGUAUAGCUUGCUAUAUUUGUCAGCUAAGUGGCGCACGGGUGAGUAAUGUAUAGAUAACCUGCCCUUAAGAAAGGAAUAACAGUUGGAAACGACUGCUAAUGCCCGAUAUGCCUUUAAUACAUAAGUAUGCAAGGGAAACGCUUUAGUGCUUAAGGAUGGGUCUGUAUGGUAUCAGCUUGUUGGUGAGGUAAUGGCUCACCAAGGCUAUGACGCCUAACUGGUUUGAGAGGAUGAGCAGUCACACUGGAACGGGGACACGGUCGAGACUCCGACGGGAGGCAGCAGUGGGGAAGAUUGCACAAUGGACGAAAGUCUGAUGCAGCAACGCCGCGUGGAGGAUGACACAUUUCGGUGCGUAAACUCCUUUUAUAUAGGAAGAUAAUGACGGUACUAUAUGAAUAAGCACCGGCUAACUCCGUGCCAGCCGCCGCCGUAACAC